UACGAAGGGGGGCUAGCGUUGCUCGGAAUCACUGGGCGUAAAGGGUGCGUAGGCGGGUCUUUAAGUCAGGGGUGAAAUCCUGGAGCUCAACUCCAGAACUGCCUUUGAUACUGAAGAUCUUGAGUUCGGGAGAGGUGAGUGGAACUGCGAGUGUAGAGGUGAAAAUUCGUAGAUAUUCGCAAGAACACCCGUGGCGAAGGCGGCUCUCUGGGACGGUACUGACGCUGAGACGCGAAAGCGUGGGGAGCGAACAGG
rnacentral:rRNA from 1 species